AGGAAGAAGCCAGUCCCCAAGGGUAUUGUCGAUGGUAAGCGCAAGCACCAUGGUAUUACCCAGUUGAAGUUAUAGAGGAACAAGCGGUCUGUUGCUGAAGAAAGAGCUGGACGCAAGCUUGGCCUUCGUGUGCUCAACUCCUGCUGGGUCAAUUGGUUGCAGUUGUAG
rnacentral:rRNA from 1 species